UACCCGUGUAGUCCUAGCCGUAAACGAUACUCGCUAGGUGUCGGCCACGGUGCGACCGUUGUCGGUGCCGUAGGGAAGCCGUGAAGCGAGCCACCUGGGAAGUACGGCCGCAAGGCUAGAAACUUAAAGGAAUUGGCGGGGGAGCACAACAACGGGUGGAGCUUGCGGUUUAAUUGGAUUCAACGCCGGAAAUCUUACCGGGACCGACAGCAACAUGAAGGCCAAGCUGAAGACUUUGCCGGAUUAGCUG
rnacentral:rRNA from 1 species